GAUUAGACUGCUACAGGUGGGGUGAUGGUCAGGCUGGUGGAUUAGACUGCUACAGGUGGUGUGAUGGUCAGGCUGGUGGAUUAGACUGCUACAGGUGGUGUGAUGGUCAGGCUGGUGGAUUAGACUGCUACAGGUGGUGUGAUGGUCAGG